UACAUGGGGUGCAAACGUUGCUCGGAAUUAUUGGGCGUAAAGCGCACGUAGGCGGUCCGUUAAGUCGGAUGUGAAAGCCCCGGGCUCAACCUGGGAAUGGCAAUGGAAACUGGCGGGCUGGAGUAUGGCAGAGGGGGGUGGAAUUCCGCGUGUAGCAGUGAAAUGCGUAGAGAUGCGGAGGAACACCGAUGGCGAAGGCAGCCCCCUGGGUCGACACUGACGCUCAGGCACGAAAGCGUGGGGAGCAAACAGG
rnacentral:rRNA from 1 species